rnacentral:rRNA from 1 species
CGAGUGGCGGACGGGUGAGUAAUGUCUGGGAAACUGCCUGAUGGAGGGGGAUAACUACUGGAAACGGUAGCUAAUACCGCAUAACGUCGCAAGACCAAAGAGGGGGACCUUAGGGCCUCUUGCCAUCGGAUGUGCCCAGAUGGGAUUAGCUAGUAGGUGGGGUAAAGGCUCACCUAGGCGACGAUCCCUAGCUGGUCUGAGAGGAUGACCAGCCACACUGGAACUGAGACACGGUCCAG